rnacentral:rRNA from 1 species
AUUGAACGCUGGCGGCAUGCCUUACACAUGCAAGUCGAACGGUAACAGGUCUUCGGAUGCUGACGAGUGGCGAACGGGUGAGUAAUACAUCGGAACGUGCCUAGUAGUGGGGGAUAACUACUCGAAAGAGUGGCUAAUACCGCAUGAGAUCUACGGAUGAAAGCAGGGGAUCGCAAGACCUUGUGCUACUAGAGCGGCCGAUGGCAGGUUAGGUAGUUGGUGGGAUAAAAGCUUACCAAGCAGACGAUCUGUAGCUGGUCUGAGAGGACGAUCAGACAAACUGGGACUGAGACCCGGCCCAGACUCCUACGGGAGGCAGCAUUGUGGAAAUGUGGACAAUGGGGGCAUGCCUGUUCAUGAAAUGCCGUGUGCAUGAUGAAGGCGUUAGGGUUGUAAACUGCUUUUGUACGGAACGAAAAGCCCUGGGUUAAUACCCUGGGGUCAUGACGGUACCGUAAGAAUAAGCACCGGCUAACUACGUGCCAGCAGCCGCCGUAACAC